rnacentral:rRNA from 1 species
CAGUCGCCACGGGAAUACGAAGGGUGCAAGCGUUAAUCGGAAUUACUGGGCGUAAAGCGUGCGUAGGCGGUUUGUUAAGUCUGUUGUGAAAUCCCUGGGCUCAACCUGGGAAUUGCAGUGGAUACUGGGUCACUAGAGUGUGGUAGAGGAUAGUGGAAUUUCCGGUGUAGCAGUGAAAUGCGUAGAGAUCGGAAGGAACAUCUGUGGCGAAGGCGACUAUCUGGGCCAACACUGACACUGAGGCACGAAAGCGUGGGGAGCAAACAGGAUUAGAUACCCCGGUAGUCCCUGUCUCUUAUAC